rnacentral:RNase_P_RNA from 2 species
UCAGAGGGUCGGGCGGCCGCGGGUGUGCAAGCACGCGAGGAAAGUCCGGGCUCCACGGAAACAACGGUGCCGGAUAACGUCCGGCGGCCCGGGCUUUGACUUAGGUCGCAGGCCAGGGUCAGGGAAAGUGCCACAGAGAGCAGACCGCCGAUGCUCGCCUUCGGGCAAGACAGGCAAGGGUGAAAGGGUGCGGUAAGAGCGCACCGCGCGACCGGUAACGGCAGCGGCAUGGCAAACCCCACCGGGAGCAAGACCGAAUAGGGGUGGCGCGAGGUUUCGACCUCAGGGCAUUGUUCCGGCCCGCCGCCCGGGUUGGUUGCUUGAGCCCCGGAGUAAUCCGGGGCCUAGAGGAAUGGUCGCCUAUCCUUGACCGAAAGGGCAGGGUGGACAGAACCCGGCUUACAGACCCUCUGACAUU